rnacentral:rRNA from 1 species
CGUAGGCGGCUUUUCAAGUCAGGGGUGAAAUCCCGAGGCUCAACCUCGGAACUGCCCUUGAAACUGGAUGGCUAGAAUAUUGGAGAGGUAAGUGGAAUUCCGAGUGUAGAGGUGAAAUUCGUAGAUAUUCGGAAGAACACCAGUGGCGAAGGCGACUUACUGGACAAAUAUUGACGCUGAGGUGCGAAAGCGUGGGGAGCAAACA